GAUGGACGCUGGCGGCGUGCCUAAUACAUGCAAGUCGAGCGAACAGACGAGGAGCUCGCUCCUCUGACGUUAGCGACGGACGGGUGAGUAACACGUAGAUAACCUACCUAUAAGACUGGGAUAACUUCGGGGAACCGGAUAUAAUACCGGAUAAUAUAUUGAACCGCAUGGUUCAAUGGUGAAAGAGGGUUUUGCUGACACUUAUAGAUGGAGCCGCGUCGCAUUAGCUAGUUGGUAAGGUAACGGCUUACCAAGGCUACGAUGCGUAGCCGACCUGAGAGGGUGAUCGGCCACACUGGAACUGAGACACGGUCCAGACUCCUACGGGAGGCAGCAGUAGGGAAUAUUCCGCAAUGGGCGAAAGCCUGACGGAGCAACGCCGCGUGAGUGAUGAAGGUCUUCGGAUCGUAAAACUCUGUUAUUAGGGAAGAACAGAUGUGUAAGUAAAUAUGCACGUCUUGACGGUACCUAAACAGAAAGCCACGGCUAACUACGUG
rnacentral:rRNA from 1 species